CUACGUGCCAGCAGCCGCGGUAAUACGUAGGUGGCAAGCGUUGUCCGGAUUUAUUGGGCGUAAAGCGAGCGCAGGCGGUUUGAUAAGUCUGAAGUUAAAGGCUGUGGCUCAACCAUAGUUCGCUUUGGAAACUGUCAAACUUGAGUGCAGAAGGGGAGAGUGGAAUUCCAUGUGUAGCGGUGAAAUGCGUAGAUAUAUGGAGGAACACCGGUGGCGAAAGCGGCUCUCUGGUCUGUAACUGACGCUGAGGCUCGAAAGCGUGGGGAGCGAACAGGAUUAGAUACCCUGGUAGUCCACGCCGUAAACGAUGAGUGCUAGGUGUUGGAUCCUUUCCGGGAUUCAGUGCCGCAGCUAACGCAUUAAGCACUCCGCCUGGGGAGUACGACCGCAAGGUUGAAACUCAAAGGAAUUGACGGGGGCCCGCACAAGCGGCGGAGCAUGCGGAUUAAUUCGAUGCAACGCGAAGAACCUUACCAAGGCU
rnacentral:rRNA from 1 species